rnacentral:rRNA from 1 species
AUGUCCUCCUCCUCCGUAGUCACCUCUUCUGGCCUCAACUACAACACAUCAGAACCCCUUAGCCGGACGAACUAUGUUCUCUGGCGAGCCCAAGCACGAUCCCAGAUAUUGGGCGCCGGCUUGUUUGGCUAUAUAGAUCAGACUAUAGAGGAGCCUCCCAAAACAAUCAUCAACAAAGAUAAAGAUGGCAAGGAUAAGGUACUUUCCAACCCUGCUCAUAACCCCUGGCUAGUUCAAGAUAAGCAAAUCGUAGCAUAUCUCCUCCGAAAUCUGUCCAAGGAGGUGCUUGUUCAAGUGGCCUCACUUGAAUCAUCACAUGCAAUCUGGACUGCGUUAGCAAACAUGUUUUCUGCAGUUUCCCUAUCUCGUGUCAAUAACAUCAGAUCGGCUCUCACGAACGCCUAG